ACUCAAAGGAAUUGACGGGGGCUCACACAAGCGGUGGAGCAUGUGGCUCAAUUCGAAGCAACGCGAAGAACCUUAUCCUGGAUUUGACAUGCACGGAUUAGUCCGUCGAAAGGCGGAUGACACUCUUGUAGUGGAACGUGCACAGGUGCUGCAUGGCUGUCGUCAGCUCGUGCUGUGAAGUGUCGGGUUAAGUCCCUUAACGAGCGAAACCCCUGUUACUAGUUGCUAACGCGUCAUGGCGAGGACUCUAGUGAGACUGCCGGUGUUAAACCGGAGGAAGGUGGGGAUGACGUCAAGUCCUCAUGGCCUUUAUAUCCAGGGCUGCACACGUGCUACAAUGGCGCAUACAGAACGAUGCAAGACCGCAAGGUGGAGCAAAUCGCUCAAAGUGCGCCCCAGUUCGGAUUGAGGGCUGCAACCCGCCCUCAUGAAGUCGGAAUCGCUAGUAAUCGCGGAUCAGCUACGCCGCGGUGAAUAUGUUCCUGAGCCUUGUACACACCGCCCGU
rnacentral:rRNA from 1 species